AAAAAUAAUCAGAGGACAAAGCUGUUCUAUAAGUGAUGAGAAAAUUGACUGAACGUUGAAGCCAGAGAGUGAAAAGAGAAAGACAAUGAAAGAAAACGAGAGCCAUAACACACACACACACACACACACACACACACACACACACACACACACACACACUCACACUCAGUUCUUUACUGCUAAAGGCAGGGGAGUAUGUAUGAUCAUUGCAGGAUAUUUGGGUUGGUACUAUUAAUAUAACACACUGCUGAUUUCAGUCUACUAUAAUAUAAUAUCAGAUUAUAUCUGAUCAGAUUACAUAAUAUCAGGAAUUAGCAACUUAAGCCUUGAAUAUUGAAUAUCUCCAAAUGUUAUUCUUUCUUACUCAGAACCAAACUAGCUGUCACUUUCCCCACUCCCAUUUGUGCUGGGAUUAAACCCAAGCCUUUACACAUGCAAGCAGGCACUUUACCACUGAGCUACAUAACCAACAGCUAGAAAAUGUUUUACAAGUUUAUAAAUGGAUAGAGUGUGGAACAAUUGCGUGUUCUCUACUACCUUGUAAAGGUUGCAUCGUUAAUUAAUUUUUAAUCUUGUACUCAAUUCAGUUUUAUGUAUCAUAGUUAAAUUCUUUUUCUAAAAGUUUUCUUUUCUUUAGACUCUCUGGACUUUGAACCUGAGGAUUAAAUUUAAAACUGUUUUCUUUGUAGCCAUGCGGGAUACACAUACUGUGGGUCCUGUGCUGCCCAUGCUUACAAACAAGUGGAUCCAUCUGUUACGUAAGUAUGCAGUUAAUUAGGGACAGUUUGGGACUGUUGUGAUGGUAACAUUCAUUCUGCUUGUUCCUUCGUAUUCAGUUUAAUUACUAGGAAAUAGCUUAGUACUUUCUCUUGAGUAUUUACCUUGUCUUUAGUUGUCAAAUGUUUCAUUCUGACACUACUACAAAGUUAAAUAUUUGAUUUUUCAGUUUACAUUACUAACUCAGUUGUGAACAUUUUAAACAAAAAUGAAGAUUCCUUUGCUCUUUUUAAUCAUUUUUUUUAUAGUUACUAAAAGCAAAAAUUUUGUAACAAUAAAGAGAAAUUAAAUUGAAAAGGUUUUAGAAAAUUUUUAUUAAACCUUGGUCUGAAAGUCUACCAUAAUCAAGGUUAUUUUAAAUAACACUGUGUUUUAAGCUUUUCUCUGUUUGGUUGAAUUUUUAUUGAUGAUGUCAUGCUAGAGGCAUGCCUUAGAAUUAGUUUGGCUUAGUGAUAUAAAUAAGUCUAGGGUCUGUAAUGGGGGAAGUGCAAAGUGAGACUUAAGCAAGCUGAUGGAAGGUCAGGCUGAGGAGGG
rnacentral:lncRNA from 1 species